rnacentral:rRNA from 1 species
UACGUAGGGGGCAAGCGUUGUCCGGAAUCAUUGGGCGUAAAGAGCGUGUAGGCGGCCAGAUAAGUCCGCUGUGAAAUCUCGAGGCUCAACCUCGAGCUGUCGGCGGAAACCAUCUGGCUAGAGUCCGGAAGAGGAGAGUGGAAUUCCUGGUGUAGCGGUGAAAUGCGCAGAUAUCAGGAAGAACACCUAUGGCGAAGGCAGCUCUCUGGGACGGUACUGACGCUGAGACGCGAAAGCGUGGGGAGCGAACAGG